rnacentral:lncRNA from 1 species
AACAAUAAUUAUAUUAGUGUAAUAACAAAUGAAUAACAAACGUACCUUCGCCAUUUCUGUAUUCAAGUGUGUCGCAAUCGCUCGGCUGUUUCUUGUUGCAUUCAUCAGAGGCUCUGCUGUGCAUCGAAAAAAUAACAAAAUAAUAUAUCAGUCACGUAUUGGAAUUUAAACGAGUUUAAGAAUGGGAAUGAUGAACAAGUUCGGAAGAAAUAAAACUGAAGUAUAAUUUAAAGGUUAAUAGAGAUGUUAAGUGUCUAAAGGAGGACGGAACUGGAAUUUAAGUUAAGGUUAAGGUGUUGAGCUUCCAGAUUUAUUAUGACGCUUAUUACCUUCUGAGAAAGAGGACAGUCAUGAUAAUUAUUAUCACGAGCAAGACCACCACUGCGACUAUAGCGCCAGCGAUUAUGCGCACCUGCAUGUUGUCGUCAUCACCGACAUAGUCUGCAAACAAUCAACACAUUAUUGGCAACAUAAACAAACCAACAAAUUAAAUAAAAUGUCCCGAGUAUCACUGAUUUUAUUUAUUGCGCUGUUUGUUUUACUUAAACUCUACCAGUUUGACUGUAUGUUAUAAAUAUAUAAGUUUUUUUAGAUAGAGGAAAAAG